AGGGAAUCAUCAUCCAACUUGUUAUUAUUACCAGAAAGUGUGGAAGGAAAACGUUUGAUUUCAAAAGAGAUUUUGAGUAACAGAGGAUUGACUCGACAUCGCAACAAGGACAAAAAGAACCCCAGAAAGAACUACAGGGACAAGUACACUGACAAAGUCAAGAGACGUGGAGGUCAAGUCAGAGAAAUCAGGAAACCUUCUGGUCCAUAUGGAGGAGAAGGUUUAGGUAUCAA